rnacentral:rRNA from 1 species
GACGAACGCUGGCGGCGUGCUUAACACAUGCAAGUCGAACGGAAAGGCCCUGCUUUUGUGGGGUGCUCGAGUGGCGAACGGGUGAGUAACACGUGAGUAACCUGCCCUUGACUUUGGGAUAACGUCAGGAAACUGGGGCUAAUACCGGAUAGGAGCUCCUGCUGCAUGGUGGGGGUUGGAAAGUUUCGGCGGUUGGGGAUGGACUCGCGGCUUAUCAGCUUGUUGGUGGGGUAGUGGCUUACCAAGGCUUUGACGGGUAGCCGGCCUGAGAGGGUGACCGGCCACAUUGGGACUAAGAUACGGCCCAGACUCCUACGGGAGGCAGCAGUGGGGAAUAUUGCACAAUGGGCGGAAGCCUGAUGCAGCAACGCCGCGUGCGGGAUGACGGCCUUCGGGUUGUAAACCGCUUUCGCCUGUGACGAAGCGUGAGUGACGGUAAUGAGUAAAGAAGCACCGGCUAACUACGUG